AGCGUAGGCGGGAAAUUAAGUUAAGUGUGAAAGCCUUGGGCUUAACCCCAAGAAAAUGCACUUAAUACUGGUUUUCUAGAGUGUAGGAGAGGUAAGUGGAAUUCCUAGUGUAGCGGUAAAAUAGCGUAGAGAUUAGGAGGAACAUCAGAGGCGAAGGCGGCUUACUGGACUAUAACUGACGCUGAGGCUCGAAAGCGUGGGGAGGCAAAACA
rnacentral:rRNA from 1 species